AGUGAACGCUGGCGGUAGGCCUAACACAUGCAAGUCGAACGGCAGCACAGUAAGAGCUUGCUCUUACGGGUGGCGAGUGGCGGACGGGUGAGGAAUACAUCGGAAUCUACUUUUUCGUGGGGGAUAACGUAGGGAAACUUACGCUAAUACCGCAUACGACCUACGGGUGAAAGCAGUGGAUCUUCGGACCUUGCGCGAUUGAAUGAGCCGAUGUCGGAUUAGCUAGUUGGCGGGGUAAAGGCCUACCAAGGCGACGAUCCGUAGCUGGUCUGAGAGGAGGAUCAGCCACACUGGAACUGAGACACGGUCCAGACUCCUACGGGAGGCAGCAGUGGGGAAUAUUGGACAAUGGGCGCAAGCCUGAUCCAGCCAUACCGCGUGGGUGAAGAAGGCCUUCGGGUUGUAAAGCCCUUUUGUUGGGAAAGAAAAGCAGCAGGUUAAUACCCCGCUGUUCUGACGGUACCCAAAGAAUAAGCACCGGCUAACUUCGUG
rnacentral:rRNA from 1 species